rnacentral:misc_RNA from 1 species
GAUGAAGAAGGUAGCGAAAUGCGAUAAGUAAUGUGAAUUGCAGAAUUCAGUGAAUCAUCGAAUCUUUGAACGCACCUUGCGCCUUUUGGUAUUCCGAAAGGCACACCUGUUUGAGCGUCAUGAAUACCUCAAUCUCCAUCUUUUCUUCGGAUUGAUGGGUGACUUGGAUGUUGUGCCCUGCUGGUAUGCUAUAUCAGCUGGCUUUAAACUUAUUAGCCGGCUCUGUACUGGAUCGGUUUGACUCGACGUGAUAAUAUUAUCGUUGAGGAUGCAUGUCUCAUGCAGCCGGAAAGUAUCAAAGCAGCUUCUAGCUUGCCUUUAGUGCACUUUUACAUUUUAGACCUCAGAUCAGGUGGGACUACCCGCUGAACUUAAGCAUAUCAAUAAGCGGAGGA